GGAAUUGCUGAACUGCGGAACUGGAGGGAAUAAAAGUUCGAUGUAACACGCGUGCGGUUGCCGUAAGCCUUUUUAAGCUACGACUUGUUUCCAAAAGUAACCGCGCAGGUACCGGGGAAACAAGGGAGAACUCCGCAAGCGUACGUCGUGUUUUCCCUGCCGCUCUCCAGCCCCAGAGCUGCUUCAGCUGCUGCCGCUUUCAGGAGUCCCGGCGGUCUACGCUGAACCUGGAAGCUGAACCCCGCCUGCUGCACCCAACGCUCCCGCGGGGCUGUGGGCCCGCCGGGAUGGAGACCCUCCGCACUGGCUGUGGAGCACUUUGCUGGUAUCUGUGGCCCUUCUAGAAACCCGGUGAGGAAACUGAUCCUGAGAAGGUACGGAGAGGAAAAAGGCUGUGAAAACAAACUACAAACCAUAGGGGAAGAUGAGCUAAAUCCACUGCAGUGGGCUGAGCUUGUUCUUAGAGCUCUGUAGUAAACUGCGGUCACCAUGUCCUGAGAGCACGUAUGAGCUCAGCCAGAGGCCACAUUGGUGUCUGUCAGAUGUUCCCAGCUGCUGAGGUACAUCUCUGGAAGUCAUGGUGGGAUUCUGGAGCCCAUGGAAGAAGCUCCACGUAUGUAUGUGAAUUUUCUUCUGGCCAGGCCUUGCACUGCGCUAUCACUGGUUGUAGUCAGAGUUUGUAGGGCACCCUUCGUGCAGUGCUGUUUAAGCUGACAAAGUGCAGCAAAUGUGAAUGGCAGCAGCCGGAAAACACACGUGAGGCAGGGAGACUAACAGUCCCAGGGCAAGCAAAGAGAUGAGCAGCUGUAUCCAGUGAAAUACCCGUCUUCUUAAGCAGGGCUUAAUCCUCGUUCUUCUAUUACAAUACUGUUUAAAGAACGAAAGGCCCAGGUUAGGUCAGUUCUUCCUAUUUGAUGAUAGUCUGAACUGUGACUUGUCUGCUGGUCUUAAUGCUUACAAAACUCAACCUUGCUCAUCUUGUGUGUUAAACUUCUGUGGUUUUGUUUCCAAACCUUCAGCUGUAAGCAAAAAUAAUAGAGCUGUAACACUCCAUUAUAAUCUCCGAGGUAUGAAUUCAGUCUCCCAAAAGAACGUACAAGCAAAGAAAAAGGAAACAACAGAAACCACCCAUAUUUAACUGUAGAAAAGAGAGAUUAAGCUUUUAAAUGGAGAAGAAACAGCAGUUCAUCAGAAGGAAUACUUCAUCUGAGUUGUCUGUACCUAUGAAGUAUGAUGACCAGUGAUCAGAAGACACUGUUUUCUACAAAUUAGGGGCACAGCUGUAGCAAUUGCACAGUAUUUCAUACAAUAACACUCAACUGAGGCAGAGAAAAGACGCAGAAGUCUUUAUACAAUAUACAAUAUCUGCAUUUAUGGAACAUGUUUGAAGGUUUGGGAUUUUAUGCUGCUUAUAUUAAGAAUUCAGAAUGUCAUGCUUCUGAUCUGGAGACAUAAUUACUGGAAUAUUCAUGUUACAUGAAUCAUAUGUUAUAUACACAACAUAUGUUACAUGGUAGCUGUAUGAGCUGUUGAUGUAGUUACGGGUUCCUUUGAUUCUCAUUGCAAAGAGUUCAGAUAUUUAGCAAGGUCACGGCUCCAAUAAACUUUUGAAAGACUUAAAAAUUGGGUUUCUAAGUAGGAAAAGCCUUUGUACGAUCAGAGCGGAGGAGCUUGGGAGCAGGAGGAGGAGCACUACAUGUGCCAUCCUCCCACAAAGCACAGAAAAUAGGAAGAACGCAAAAAGCCCACAACUCUCUUCCUUCUCUGACGCAUGGCAGUCAUUCCCCACGCUUGUGCUUGCUCUGCCACUGUAAGGAGUGUGCCUCUAAUAAAGAAGAACUGAAACUCCA